AGUGUAGGCGGGAUCGUAAGUUAGGAGUUUAAUGCAUGGGCUUAACCCAUGAUCCGCUUUUAAUACUGCGGUUCUUGAGUAUGGGAGAGGGCGAUGGAAUUCCAGGUGUAGCGGUGGAAUGCGUAGAUAUCUGGAAGAACACCAGUAGCGAAGGCGGUCGCCUGGCCCAAUACUGACGCUGAUGCUCGAAAGCUAGGGGAGCAAACAGGAUUAGAUACCCUGGUAGUCCUAGCCGUAAACGAUGGACACUAGUUGCUGGAGGAGUCAAUCCUUUCGGUGACGAAGCUAACGCAUUAAGUGUCCCGCCUGGGAAGUACGCUCGCAAGGGUGAA
rnacentral:rRNA from 1 species